GGGCCUAUAGCUCAGUCGGCUAGAGCGCGUCCCUGAUAAGGACGAGGUCAGUAGUUCAAUUCUACUUAGGCCCA
rnacentral:tRNA from 1 species